rnacentral:rRNA from 1 species
AACGACUCUCGGCAACGGAUAUCUCGGCUCUCGCAUCGAUGAAGAACGUAGCGAAAUGCGAUACUUGGUGUGAAUUGCAGAAUCCCGUGAACCAUCGAGUCUUUGAACGCAAGUUGCGUCCGAAGCCAUCAGGUUGAGGGCACGUC